rnacentral:miRNA from 1 species
UUGCGUAGGCGUUUUGCACUGA